GCCGCCAACGUCCGUCCUCCUCCCCACGGACUUAAUACUCAUCAUAAUAGCUAUAAAUCCGACCAUUGAACCACUAGAAACUGCUCAAUGGAGCUCAUACACCACCGCCAUUGCAUCCAGAUUAAUAAGCAUGCCCUGCAGCUGCAGCCCUACUGCAAUCCACAUCCACAACAAGCAGACGUUGUCACCACGCCCAGCGCCAGCGGCCUACACGCUGGUUCAUCACGAUUUAAUUGGAUUCAUCUACUGCUACCUUAGGCCCUCACGAUUUCACUGGAUUCAAUCCGUUGCUACCUCAGGCCUUCCCGAUUUCUUCGUAUUUAUUCUCAGUUUGGUCGCUGAAGAUUUCCUUGGGUUCAUUGGUAACUCGAUCUGCUGACACUACAAAUCGCCUUUAUCCAUCGGACGAGACACAUGAGGAUGGAUGAGGGAACUAUCUAGGAUCAACCAAGCGCAUUGAUGCACAUAAUCAUGCAGACGGUGGAAAAGCAAGGCUAGAGGCCCUCUACUGUCUUAACCGCCCCUCUCAAAGAUAGUAUCGGAUCUGAACCUUUUGCUCUUCUCCAAUGGUUUCCCAUACACAGGUUCCAAUAUGUUUAAGUCCUCUAGAAUUCCGGCUGGCCAUCUGCAUCCUGGUGGAGUCCGGGUCCUUCCAUUCUUUGUUUGUGAAACUGACAAUUGGAAUUCCCAUAAGAUAAUAUAACCGAGAAAUUUCAUUUGAUUUCAGCAUAUUAUUUGGAUUUUAGGUGGCUAAUUCUCCGGCUAAACAUUGGUUAACAAAUAUAUUAAGCUGAGGAUCUUCACUUACUGAGAGAUUCAGAGUAAGACAUGUUCCCGUGUUGAACUGUCCAGCGGCAUGGCUGGUACUGAAAAAAAACUGCCGUGCUACCAAAGAUUUGGUACAUCUUUACCUCCUUUCUACACACAAGUGGGAAGUAGUGGAUCAACGUCCACUGAAUUCGGUCAGAGGAAUAUGUACAUGUGUUUGAAUUUGGCAAUCCAUGCUUCUUAUGAAUAAGAGCAUUUCAGUGUAUGAGAUUUGUCAAAUAGUGAUUCUUACGAAUAAAAUCAGUUCAA